rnacentral:lncRNA from 1 species
GAUAGUGAGAUGACUGCACAGCAGCAUAUGGUAAAAGGAAUGUUUCUCCUUGGUGAUGGAAUCCUGGUGUAGCUGGGCACCUGGUUGCCAAGCCAGAGGAUUGCAUUUCCCCAAAGUGAGAGGAAAUGUGUCCUGUCUUUCUGGCAUGCGGUCAUGAUGGCUGGGGCUCCAGCAGCCACUUUGGCUCAUGAGGCCCUGCACCAAGGAUGGCAGGGCUGGAAGAUGCUUAUGUACUAAACACAUAUAAAAAUUUAUUAUAUGUUAGGCCUUGCUCUAAACGUCUUACAAAUACUAACUUUUUUGUCCCCAGAGCAGCACACAAGGUCUGCUGGUCUCAGGUCCACUUGCCCAUCCCCGGAGUAGCUCAGCAGGAUGCAGAUCAGAGGAACAUGACAGGCAGAAGCAGUGGACAAAUUCACCCCACCCUGGCCCUCCGCUCAUCAUGCUCUCUCUUCCUGUACCAUCUUCUGUCUUCCUUUUUUUUUUUCCCCCCUGGUCGGCCCAUCUUUAGAUGGGGAAUUUAACCUCGUUUUACGCUGAAGUUCAUCUGAAAUUUCUCUUGCCUGCUCUCUGCCUGUUCCUCUGUUUGUGGCUUUCCCACUUCUCCCGGGUGCGAUGUGGCAGGCAGAUGGCACAGCACACUGAGAGGACAGCUACAGGCCCUGGGUGGCGUGACUGAUCAGCAGCGCGUGAGCAGCGGCAGCAGCAAAAGGUAGCGGGACAGAGAGCUGAGAAAAAUAACGCCGGCCCAGGACAGUCGAUGAACCUUCACAAACCGGGAUGAAGUAAAGACAUUUUCAAGCACGUGGAAACAAAGGGAAUUUAUCACGAAAGGAACAAAACCGUCAGAGGAAGGGCGCUCAGACCCAGAAGGAGAGGCGAGCCGAGGAGCUGGACCGUAGUGACAGGAGAGGUCCAGCCAAGAGGUGGGACGGACGCUGUACGGAGGACGGGCUGAAGCUGGCGUUUCCCCAGGGCGCCUGCGUGACCAGCCGGCGAAGGGGUCCACGCUUUUCUUCUCAACCAGGUUGAGUCUUGAGAGCAGAGACCACGACUUCUCUCUCUCUCUCUCUCUCUCACUCUCUCUCUCUCUCUAUAUAUAUAUACAUUUUUUCCUUCUUCUUUUACAGCUGCACCUGUGUCGUAUGGGUGUUCCCAGGCUAGGGGUUGAAUCGGAGCUGCAGCUGCCUGCCGACCUCACAGCCACGGCAACACUGGAUCUGUGUUGCAUCUGUGACCUACGCCACAGCUCACGGCAAUGGUGAGGUGAGCCAGAUCCUAAACCUACUGAGUGAGGCCAGGGAUUGAACUUGCACCCUCACGGAGACUAUGGCGGGUUCUUAACCUGCUGAGCCACAACAGGAACUCCAAACGAUAUGCAUUAACUUGAAAGCGUACAACGUAGUGGCACUCCGUCCGGUUGCAGAGUUGUGCUGGAGUUCCCACCGUGGCGCAGGGGGUUAAGGAUCCGGCGUUGUCUCAUGGCGGCGUGGGUUUGAUCCCUGGCCUGGGAAUAUCCACAUGCCAUGGGUACGGCCAAACAAGAUGAAACAAAAUAAAUAAAAACAGCAGUGUGGCGCAAACACCA